CCUACGGGGUGCUGCAGUGGGGGAUAUUGCACAAUGGGGGGAACCCUGAUGCAGCGACGCCGCGUGGGUGAAGGAGUGCUUCGGCAUGUAAAGCCCUAUCGGCCGGGAAGAAGCAAGACGGUACCUGACUAAGAAGCCCCGGCUAACUACGUGCCAGCAGCCGCGGUAAUACGUAGGGGGCGAGCGUUAUCCGGAUUCCCUGGAUGUAAAGGGAGAGUAGACGACCAUGCACGAAAGGGGUGAAAGCCCGGGGCCGAACCCCGGGACUGCCCGUGGAACUGCAUGGAGUGAGUGCGGGAGGGGCAGGCGGAAGUCCUGGUGUAGCGGUGAAAUGCGUAGAUAUCAGGAGGAACACCGGCGGCGAAGGCGGCCUGCGGGACCGCGACUGACGUUGAUGCUCGAAAGCGUGGGGAGCGAACAGGAUUAGAUACCCUUGUAGUC
rnacentral:rRNA from 1 species